AUUGAACGCUGGCGGCAGGCCUAACACAUGCAAGUCGAACGAGUGGCGGACGGGUGAGUAAUGUCUGGGAAACUGCCUGAUGGAGUGGGCUAACUACUGGAAACGGUAGCUAAUACCGCAUACCAUCAGAUGUGCCCCGAUGGGAUGAGCUAGUUGGUGGGGUAACGGCUCACCAAGGCGACGAUCCCUAGCUGGUCUGAGAGGAGGACCAGCCACAAGGGAACGGAGACACGGUCCAGACUCCUACGGGAGGAAGAAGUGGGGAAUAUGGCACAAUGGGCGCAAGCCGGAUGCAGCCAUGUCGCGUGUAUGAAGAAGGCAUUCGGGUUGUAAAGUACUUGCAGCGGGGAGGCGUUACCCGCAGAAGAAGCACCGGCUAACUCCGUGCCAGCAGCCGCGGUAAUAC
rnacentral:rRNA from 1 species